UUGGUUAAAAGGUGAAGUGACCUGACGUGACUCAAUGAGAUUAGAGGAUAUUUGUCACUGAUGCCAAGUGAAGUGUUAUGGGCCCAUAACUUGAUUGGAUUAAUGGAAAUAAAUAGUGUUAACGGAGGUAGUGAACCUAAUUGAAGGUUAAAGAAAAAUUCACGCGUGGAAUCCCUUUUUCUAGUGAACAUUAAAAGUACGACGAGGUACCGUAGUGAAUUUUCCAAGUGUCCUUUUUGAAGUGAAGUCAAUUAAAACAUGUGGGAACUACAAGAGUAUUCACCACAGUUAACUACACCAGGACUUGAUUCACCCUCCGCCAGGAAUUUAAAUUAAGGUGCGUGAGGCCAAGAGUGCCAAGCCUCGUACCUAGUGAAGCAAACAUGGCGGACUUGGAGUGUAAAGAACCAUUUGACAGUCCAGGAAACAACUGGCUGAGCCCUUGGGUACUGGAGGUAGGGUGGUGUCAGUCAGCAGCACAAAGGAGAAUGCGAUUAGUGUUGCUGCUGCGCUGGACGUCUGAGUCAGGUCACGAUGGUGAGGUGUGGGUGCAACAGUUCCUCUGGAGAAGAAAGACACGUUGAGAAUUCCCAUGAGGUCAAAGAUGGGUUCUCAGGUAAAAGGUUUAGUCUCCCUUGACCUAAUAGUUAUAAUUAAUGGAUUCCCAUACCACACCUGUACCUAAUGCAGGUGUUCUCACUAUCAAGUUAACAGUGACGAGCCAGUAUUGCUGCUAUGUCCACCCAACUUCCAAAAUUGUCCUUUCUGUAAUUAAUAAAAAAAAAAAAAUCUGAUUGCCAAGUGCAAUGGCG